AUUGAACGCUAGCGGGAUGCUUUACACAUGCAAGUCGAACGAGUCGCGGACGGGUGAGUAAUAUAUCGGAACGUGCCCAGUAGCGGGGGAUAACUACUCGACAGAGUGUCUAAUACCGCAUUCUAUUGGCGCGGCCGAUAUCGGAUGAGCUAGUUGGUGGGGUAAAGGCUCACAAAGGCAACGAUCCGUAGCUGGUUUGAGAGGACGACCAGCCACACUGGAACUGAGACACGGCCCAGACUCCUAUGGGAGGCAGCAGUGGGGAAUGUUGGACAAUGGGGGAAACCCUGAUGCAGCCAUGCCGCGUGUAUGAGAAGGCCUUCGGGUUGUAAAGUACUUUUGGCAGAGAAGCGGUAUCUGAAGAAUAAGCACCGGCUAACUACGUGCCAGCAGCCGCGGUAAUUC
rnacentral:rRNA from 1 species